UACGGGGGAGGCAAGCGUUGUUCGGAUUUACUGGGCGUUGAAAGGGCGCAGGUGGCGGUCGUGACAAGUCACUUGUGAAAUCUCCGGGCUUAACUCCGGAACGGUCAAGUGAUAUGUCGGACUAGAGUACAGAAGGGGCAACUGGAAUUCUCGGUGUAGCGGUGAAAUGCGUAGAUAUCGAGAGGAACACCGGUGGCGAAGGCGGGUCUCUGGGCAGUAACUGACGCUGAGGAGCGAAAGCGUGGGGAGCGAACAGG
rnacentral:rRNA from 1 species